GGCGCGGAGCCGCGCGGAGUGACAAAGCCGCCGCUGCCGCCGCCGGGGGUGGGAGCCGCGCUCGCCCGCCCGCCCCUCGACUCGCGAGGGCGUAAAAGUUUGUCUCAGCUCGAGCAUUCCUAGCGCCAACACGCCCUCAGGUAAAGGUGGAAGUAAAUGGCCACGCUGUAUUGACAGAGGUAGGGUUUGUUUUUUAAUACUCGUUCUCACUUUAAGUCUCACCAGGGAGGGGUUUGGGAAGCACUGCGUGUUUGGGGGACGUUUUGCGCUUCCUGGUCUCUCCAGCCUACAAGUCGGGAGUCGGCGACCGCUUAGUGACGAGCGAUGAUUUUAAAGAGCAGAAUAAAAGGUUUUCCCGUGCCUGCCCCACAGCCCCUCCAGCUCGAAUAAUGGAGAACUGUCAAUGCACUCCGCGAGCGGUGGCCCAUUGUACGCAGCUGAUGGCGAGGAGGCGACUGGGGGUAGCAGGGGCUCCUUGCCCUCGUCCCUAUGCCCAAAUAAACGCGCAAACGCGCUCCCGUCUUCUGGUCAGUUAAAAGGUGAAACGAACACGAUUAAAAUAGACCAAAAGAAAAGAAAGAAAAGAAAACCUUUCUAUGUACAGAUUCUAAAUCGUACUCCCCAUACAGUCAGAGGCAGGGAGUCGAGGGCAGAGGCAGCAGGCGGAGAGAGGGAGAUAGGGCGAGGGAAGGAGAACGCGGAGAGAGACGAAGGGAGUGGGAGACCAGCGACAGCGAGCGCCAGGGCACCGCAGGCACACUGGAUGCCCAGUCCGCCGGCCCAGCCGCCCUCGGACCCUGGACCGUGCGUCGUGGGCACCAGAAACGAGACUCGGCCAAAUCCUGCCUCACCAGCAGGUAGAUGAAACUCAAGAGAAAAGGUGUGGAUAAAUGAAACUAGCCCAUGAUGAACCUGUUUUCUCCGUGACCACAAUAUUAACCAGGAUGAAUGGCGGUGGCAGUGGGCCUGCAUCACAGGUUGCAGCAGAUGUUCUCAAUAUUUCUAUUAAAAUUUCCUUAUUUCCAUAUGCAAGAGGAGCCCCAGAGCUGCAUCCUUAUGGUAGCUACCAUGCCGUGAUGUAAGCUGCCAUUCACUGGGGAGCUUUGGCAAUAGAAUUGGCUAGAUCAGGAAGCCUAUGUCAACUAUGGAACAACAACUUGCAGCUCAUCUCUAUUGAUGAUGGAAUCUCGCUAUGUCACCAGGCUGGAGUGCAGUGGCGCAACCUCGGCUCAGCGCAACAUCCGCCUCCCGGGUUCAAGUGAUUCUCCUACCUCAGCCUCCUGAGUAGCUGGGAUUACAGGAAUCUAAUGACCAUUGAACUGUGGCCAUGACUUCAAUUACAAGUAUUUUCUUCACUAAUGUCAGACUGUGGGCCUUUGUAUAUACACUUUUAACAAACUUUUUGGAAGUGCAAUACAUAUCGCAACAACUUCUCAAUGCUGAAUCAUAGUAUUGGAAGACAUUUUAAGCAACAAUUAAACUCAACUUAUUUACUACCAAUAAUGUACAUAAGUCAGCUGAAGUGAGGAUAACAUGAAUAGCACAAAUACAUUAUGAUUGCUGCCUGGCCAACAGUAAUUAUAAGAAACUGUCAGUUUUGAGAUGUGUCUUGAUUUCAGAGAUGUUAAAAAAGUUUGUAAGUUACCAUUGAUAAAAUAUGAGUUUGCUUCCACAAAUAUUCUUUCUUCUGUCCUUCUGGAACUCAAGAGUAAACAUAUAUUAGAUUUUCUCACCAUUUCAUGCAUGCUGGUUCCUAGGCUACUCUCUGAGUCAUUUUUUUUUUCUUAUCUGCCCUCCAGUUCACUAGUUCUGUCAUUUUCUGGGUCUGAUCUGCUGCAAAUGCAAUACAUUGAGUUUUAAAUUUCAGUCAUUGUGUUUUCAUUUCUAGAAAUUUCAUUUGACUCUUUCUCAAAUUACUUUUCCAUUUUUUUUGUAGUUUCCUAUCCCUGGAGAUAUUUUCAAUCAUGCCAUUUAAUUUUUUAAAUACGCAAGUGUAGUUUUAUAAUUUGUGUCUGAUAAUUCUAAUAUCUGAAGUCUUAGUAGGUCUGUUUCAGUUGUCCUGUAAUUAUGCAUGUUUUUGCCCAUGUUGCUUUGUUUCCUUGUAUGCUUGGUUAUCUUUCUUACUGCCCUUGCAAAAUUAUUUGGAGAGUCCUGGAGGCUUAAAUGAAGAUAACUUUUAGGAAUAAUUUGCAUUUGCUUUUGCCGAGGAUCUUGGGAUCAUUUCAACCAAAAUCUUAGCUUGAAAUUCCGCAAUCAAUCAAGGUGAUGAGAACCUGGUCAGUAAAUCCUAAUGAGGGCCAGGCUGUGGCCAAAGAUUUUUAGACAGAUGUUUCCCUCCUUUGCCAUUUCUCUUUUCUUUCCUCCUCUGCUCCUCUUAGUGUCCAGACAACCUUCAUGGAAGUCCUUGGGGUGGGUGGGAAAUGAGGACGGCAGGUUUCAUUCUAGGUAUAGCCCUUUGAGGUCUAACUUAAUGCAGAGAGAGUUUUCUGGUCUAUGUGCCACCUUACAUGGGAUCUUGAGCCUUGAUUUCUAAACCCCUUGCCUUUGAUGUUUCAGAAUUGAAGCUUAAAUUUGCCAACAGGCAAAUGUCCUCAAGGCAAAUUGGCUUAGGUGUUCGAUAUUCUUCUUACCAGAAAGGUAAACUUGGGUUUUUUACUUCACCCAGGAUUUGGCAUGACAGUUCCCCAUUAUCUUGUCAGCUUAGUGCUUUAAGUGAUUGCAUUUAAAAAAAUUCUGCAUUUUCAGUUUUUAGCAGGAGGAAUGGCCUCAACUAGUGGUUUUCAACUGGGGAUGAUUUUUUUCCCCUAGGGGACAUUUGAUAAUGUUUGGAGAUGUUUUAGUUGUUAGAACUGGGGUUGGGGGAACUACUGUCAUCUGGUGGGGAGAGACCGGCAAUGCUGUUGAUCUUACUAUAAUGCACAGGCCACCCCCAACAACAAACAAAUUACAUAGCCCCAAAUAUCAAUAAUGCCAAGGUCCAAAUAACCUAACCUUCCAUUACUGAAAAUAGAAGUUCAAGAAGAUAGUUUAUAAUUUAAAAAUUUUUAGGUCUUAAUAAGUUGUCAUACUUUCACAGGUUUUAUUUCAUACUAAGUAAUUUAUUUCAAAUUUUACAUUCCAAUUACAGAAAAUUUUCUAAGCCAGUUUUUGUUCUUCAUGAGUAUUACUAUCAAGGUCACAUUUUUCAUCUAGUAUGUUUUACCCUGGUACUUGUUGGCAGGGUCAGGACUAAGGUGAGAUGCGCAAGGCAUUUGCCUCACACAAAAUGCACAAUGAAUAAAAUGUCAAAACUUUAAAUAAAGACAGAAUCACUAAAAGUACUUUGCCAUAUUGGAACCUGAGGCAAAAAGAAAAAUAAGUAAUAAUAUUUAAAAUUUUGAUCUCUUGUUCAUUGUAGAUUUUUACAUUAAUUUUGAUUGUUUAAAACAUUGCAUUAAAAUAUUAUUUAAUGUGAAAAAAAAAAAAAAAAAAAAAAAAAAAAAAAAAAAA
rnacentral:sRNA from 1 species